CCAUGUGUGUUUUUUGUUUUUAUUUUUAGUUUUUUUUUUCGUUUUCGAAUUUAACGCAAAAUUGCUUUAUUAAUUGACUUGUAUUUCCGCUGGUAGAAAAGUUACAUGCAUGUCUCCUAAAAUUAGGACGUUUUGAAAGAUAGAUAAAAAUAAUAAGAUUAAUAUAUUACUGUUUAUUUUGAUGAAUCAAAAUUUUAAGAUAUUCUAAGAUCCUUAAUUAUUUU
rnacentral:lncRNA from 1 species